rnacentral:rRNA from 1 species
GACGAACGCUGGCGGCGUGCUUAACACAUGCAAGUCGAACGGAAAGCUCCAGCUUUCUGGAGUACUCCAGUGGCGAACGGGUGAGUAACACCUGGGUAAUCUGCCCUGCACUCUGGGAUAAGCCCGGGAAACUGGGGCUGAUACUGGAUAUUACCUUUUUCCUUCUGGGGUUUGGUGGAAAAUUUUUCGGUGUAGGAUGAGCCCGCGGCCUAUCAGCUUGUUGGUGGGGUGAUGGCCUACCAAGGCGACGACGGGUAGCCGGCCUGAGAGGGUGAUCGGCCACAUUGGGACUGAGAUACGGCCCAGACUCCUACGGGAGGCAGCAGUGGGGAAUAUUGCACAAUGGGCGGAAGCCUGAGGCAGCGACGCCGCGUGAGGGAUGACGGCCUUCGGGUUGUAAACCUCUUUCAGCAGGGACGAAGCGUAAGUGACGGUACCUGCAGAAGAAGCACCGGCUAACUACGUG